rnacentral:rRNA from 1 species
AUUGAACGCUGGCGGCAGGCUUAACACAUGCAAGUCGCGCGAGCGGCGGACGGGUGAGUAAUGUCUGGGAAACUGCCUGAUGGAGGGGGAUAACUACUGGAAACGGUAGCUAAUACCGCAUACCAUCAGAUGUGCCCAGAUGGGAUUAGCUAGUAGGUGGGGUAAGUGCUCCCCGAGGCGACGAUCCCUAGCUGGUCUGAGAGGAUGACAAGCCACACGGGAACGGAGAAACGGUCAAGACUGCUAGGGGAGGCAGCAGUGGGGAAUAUUGCACAAGGGGAGCAAGCCUGAUGCAGCCAUGCCGCGGGUGUGAAGAAGGCCUUCGGGUUGUAAAGCACUUUCAGCGAGGAGGCGUUACUCGCAGAAGAAGCACCGGAUAACGCCGUGCCAGAAGCCGCGGUAAUUC